CAGGCUACCCCUUCCCCAUGACACCUCCCGCUCCCCUCUGUGGCCUGGGUGGGCCUGGGGGAGGGGCUGCCCUUGGCUGGCCUAGAGCUCUCCCCGAGCUGAGCUGGGCAGCUGGCAGCGCAGCUGGCAGUCUCUGGGACGGACGGGGCUGCGAGUGGCAGGAGGCCAGGCUUUGGCAGGAUCAGGUUAGGGCAGGUUUGGUUUCCUUAAAAUACAAUGUUGGGGGCCAGUGGGGCUGGCAUAUAAAUCCCCACUCUGGGCACCUGGUUUUCCUUCCAGGGUGUCUCUCUGCUAUCAGGUCUGCCCUGCAGCCCCAGAUCUAAGAUGUCCAGUCCUCUGGAGUAGGCGCUGGCUGUGAUGAUCACCACCUUCCACAAGUACUCUGGCCAAGAGGGUGACAAGUUCAAGCUGAGUAAGGGGGAGAUGAAGAAACUUCUGCACAAGGAGCUGCCCAGCUUUGUGGGGGUGUGUAGGGAGAGAAAAGCCCAGCUAAGACACGCACCCUGAGAUAUUUUGCAGAGGAAUGCCGUCAGCUCUCAACUUGCCCCUCGCCCUUCCCUUGCCGACUCCUGGAUAAUCCCAAAGUCAGGUCUCAGGCUUUGAACGUAUGAGGCAUGUCCUUCUCUCUUUAAAAAAAUUGUUUUGGGGCUUCCCUGGUGGCGCAGUGGUUGGGAGUCUGCCUGCCAAUGCAGGGGACACAGGUUCGAGCCCUGGUCUGGGAGGAUCCCACAUGCCACGGAGCAACUAGGCCCGUGAGCCACAACUACUGAGCCUGCGCGUCUGGAGCCUGUGCUCCGCAACAAGAGAAGCCACGACAGUGAGAGGCCCGCGCACCGCGAUGAAGAGUGGCCCCCACUUGCCGCAACUAGAGAAAGCCCUCGCACAGAAACGAAGACCCAACACAGCC